AACACGACUCUCGGCAACGGAUAUCUCGGCUCUCGCAUCGAUGAAGAACGUAGCAAAAUGCGAUACCUGGUGUGAAUUGCAGAAUCCCGCGAACCAUCGAGUUUUUGAACGCAAGUUGCGCCCGAGGCCUUUUGGUUGAGGGCACGCCUGCCUGGGCGUCACGC
rnacentral:rRNA from 1 species